GGGGAAGACCCGUGCCGUUCUCUCAUUGCACAAACCCUUCCAUCUCUACAGAGAAUGCCACCAGAAGACCUCCGACUGAAUUUUCAGAGGAGUGUCCUCAUGAAGCUUGACAGCAUUCUUGAGAAGAAGCAGGAAGGCUUGGUCCUAUUGCAGAGGGUGGUUUCUUCCCUUGGCAGCAGUGUGGAGGACAUUGACGAUGUGUUUCCUCGACCCUGGCAGACCAUAGAAGAAAUGGAAAAUAUGUGCACCCAUCUCGAUAAAGAUGCUGACUUGAGGAAAAAAAUGAUCCUGUACCUGAGUUCCAUUAGAGGGACUGACCUGGGAGACACAGUACCGAAAAUUAUACACAAGCUGUUUACAAACAAGCUUAUGUCGCGCUACAACAUGAAGGCCAGAAAUGGAAAGCUGAGGUUCCAUUAAAGAAACAACCAAAUGGAACCACAAGGUGACCAGGACAGAGGUGGAGUUGAAAGUAGGGGAGACUCUGAAACUGGCACUACAUCGACAGAAACAAAAUCAGGAAAGGCUGAACAAGUCCAAGGAAAGGGCAGAAGAUGAGGUGGCCAGUGGACUAAUGAUGAAUUG